rnacentral:lncRNA from 1 species
UGCCCCGAGCAGACUACAUUAUAGGUCAUCUGCCUUACUUUUGCCAGCGCCAAGUAAUACGGGGCUUCAGCUGAGGCUCCAAGCAGCUAGGCAUCUCUGCAGCUAAGUUUCCUGAGCAAGAAGUAGAACUAUCUUUCAGCUGGUAUAUCUACUAGCAUUUAUUGUGGUCAGUCCAGUGUUAAAGGUGGAAGUAUCCACCAGAAAAGAACUUUGAUUCUUUAAAGUCACU